AGUGAACGCUGGCGGUAGGCCUAACACAUGCAAGUCGAACGGCAGCACAGUAAGAGCUUGCUCUUACGGGUGGCGAGUGGCGGACGGGUGAGGAAUACAUCGGAAUCUACUUUUUCGUGGGGGAUAACGUAGGGAAACUUACGCUAAUACCGCAUAUGACCUACGGGUGAAAGCAGGGGAUCUUCGGACUUUUCGCGACUGAAUGAGCUGAUGUCGGAUUAGCUAGUUGGCGGGGUAAAGGCCCACCAAGGCGACGAUCCGUAGCUGGUCUGAGAGGAUGAUCAGCCACACUGGAACUGAGACACGGUCCAGACUCCUACGGGAGGCAGCAGUGGGGAAUAUUGGACAAUGGGCGCAAGCCUGAUCCAGCCAUACCGCGUGAGUGAAGAAGGCCUUCGGGUUGUAAAGCCCUUUUGUUGGGAAAGAAAAGCAGCAGGUUAAUACCCCGCUGUUCUGACGGUACCCAAAGAAUAAGCACCGGCUAACUUCGUG
rnacentral:rRNA from 1 species